GGGUUGUGAGGUUAAGCGACUAAGCGUACACGGUGGAUGCCCUGGCAGUCAGAGGCGAUGAAGGACGUGCUAAUCUGCGAUAAGCGCCGGUAAGGUGAUAUGAACCGUUAUAACCGGCGAUUUCCGAAUGGGGAAACCCAGUGUGAUUCGUCACACUAUCAUUAACUGAAUCCAUAGGUUAAUGAGGCGAACCGGGGGAACUGAAACAUCUAAGUACCCCGAGGAAAAGAAAUCAACCGAGAUUCCCCCAGUAGCGGCGAGCGAACGGGGAGGAGCCCAGAGCCUGAAUCAGCAUGUGUGUUAGUGGAAGCGUCUGGAAAGGCGCGCGAUACAGGGUGACAGCCCCGUACACAAAAGCGCAUGUGCUGUGAGCUCGAUGAGUAGGGCGGGACACGUGGUAUCCUGUCUGAAUAUGGGGGGACCAUCCUCCAAGGCUAAAUACUCCUGACUGACCGAUAGUGAACCAGUACCGUGAGGGAAAGGCGAAAAGAACCCCGGCGAGGGGAGUGAAAAAGAACCUGAAACCGUGUACGUACAAGCAGUGGGAGCCCCACCACCAAAGCAUUCUCUGGUGUUGAAGGCCCUGCAAAGCAGCAUCGCGGUGGCGGAGCGUCGUUUGCGACGCCCAACACACAAAACAAGCGGUGAGUGCUUUGGGGUGGGGUGACUGCGUACCUUUUGUAUAAUGGGUCAGCGACUUAUAUUCUGUAGCAAGGUUAACCGAAUAGGGGAGCCGUAGGGAAACCGAGUCUUAACCGGGCGUUAAGUUGCAGGGUAUAGACCCGAAACCCGGUGAUCUAGCCAUGGGCAGGUUGAAGGUUGGGUAACACUAACUGGAGGACCGAACCGACUAAUGUUGAAAAAUUAGCGGAUGACCUGUGGCUGGGGGUGAAAGGCCAAUCAAACCGGGAGAUAGCUGGUUCUCCCCGAAAGCUAUUUAGGUAGCGCCUCGUGAACUCAUCUCCGGGGGUAGAGCACUGUUUCGGCUAGGGGGCCAUCCCGGCUUACCAACCCGAUGCAAACUGCGAAUACCGGAGAAUGUUAUCACGGGAGACACACGGCGGGUGCUAACGUCCGUCGUGAAGAGGGAAACAACCCAGACCGCCAGCUAAGGUCCCAAAGUCAUGGUUAAGUGGGAAACGAUGUGGGAAGGCCCAGACAGCCAGGAUGUUGGCUUAGAAGCAGCCAUCAUUUAAAGAAAGCGUAAUAGCUCACUGGUCGAGUCGGCCUGCGCGGAAGAUGUAACGGGGCUAAACCAUGCACCGAAGCUGCGGCAGCGACACUCAGGUGUUGUUGGGUAGGGGAGCGUUCUGUAAGCCUGUGAAGGUGUGUCGUGAGGCAUGCUGGAGGUAUCAGAAGUGCGAAUGCUGACAUAAGUAACGAUAAAGCGGGUGAAAAGCCCGCUCGCCGGAAGACCAAGGGUUCCUGUCCAACGUUAAUCGGGGCAGGGUGAGUCGACCCCUAAGGCGAGGCCGAAAGGCGUAGUCGAUGGGAAACGGGUUAAUAUUCCCGUACUUGGUGUUACUGCGAAGGGGGGACGGAGAAGGCUAUGUUGGCCGGGCGACGGUUGUCCCGGUUUAAGCGUGUAGGCUGGUUUUCCAGGCAAAUCCGGAAAAUCAAGGCUGAGGCGUGACGACGAGGCACUACGGUGCUGAAGCAACAAAUGCCCUGCUUCCAGGAAAAGCCUCUAAGCAUCAGGUAACAUCAAAUCGUACCCCAAACCGACACAGGUGGUCAGGUAGAGAAUACCAAGGCGCUUGAGAGAACUCGGGUGAAGGAACUAGGCAAAAUGGUGCCGUAACUUCGGGAGAAGGCACGCUGACACGUAGGUGAAGUGAUUUACUCACGGAGCUGAAGUCAGUCGAAGAUACCAGCUGGCUGCAACUGUUUAUUAAAAACACAGCACUGUGCAAACACGAAAGUGGACGUAUACGGUGUGACGCCUGCCCGGUGCCGGAAGGUUAAUUGAUGGGGUCAGCGCAAGCGAAGCUCCUGAUCGAAGCCCCGGUAAACGGCGGCCGUAACUAUAACGGUCCUAAGGUAGCGAAAUUCCUUGUCGGGUAAGUUCCGACCUGCACGAAUGGCGUAAUGAUGGCCAGGCUGUCUCCACCCGAGACUCAGUGAAAUUGAACUCGCUGUGAAGAUGCAGUGUACCCGCGGCAAGACGGAAAGACCCCGUGAACCUUUACUAUAGCUUGACACUGAACAUUGAGCCUUGAUGUGUAGGAUAGGUGGGAGGCUUUGAAGCGUGGACGCCAGUCUGCGUGGAGCCGACCUUGAAAUACCACCCUUUAAUGUUUGAUGUUCUAACGUGGACCCGUAAUCCGGGUUGCGGACAGUGUCUGGUGGGUAGUUUGACUGGGGCGGUCUCCUCCUAAAGAGUAACGGAGGAGCACGAAGGUUGGCUAAUCCUGGUCGGACAUCAGGAGGUUAGUGCAAUGGCAUAAGCCAGCUUGACUGCGAGCGUGACGGCGCGAGCAGGUGCGAAAGCAGGUCAUAGUGAUCCGGUGGUUCUGAAUGGAAGGGCCAUCGCUCAACGGAUAAAAGGUACUCCGGGGAUAACAGGCUGAUACCGCCCAAGAGUUCAUAUCGACGGCGGUGUUUGGCACCUCGAUGUCGGCUCAUCACAUCCUGGGGCUGAAGUAGGUCCCAAGGGUAUGGCUGUUCGCCAUUUAAAGUGGUACGCGAGCUGGGUUUAGAACGUCGUGAGACAGUUCGGUCCCUAUCUGCCGUGGGCGCUGGAGAACUGAGGGGGGCUGCUCCUAGUACGAGAGGACCGGAGUGGACGCAUCACUGGUGUUCGGGUUGUCAUGCCAAUGGCACUGCCCGGUAGCUAAAUGCGGAAGAGAUAAGUGCUGAAAGCAUCUAAGCACGAAACUUGCCCCGAGAUGAGUUCUCCCUGAGACUUAGAGUCUCCUGAAGGAACGUUGAAGACGACGACGUUGAUAGGCCGGGUGUGUAAGCGCAGCGAUGCGUUGAGCUAACCGGUACUAAUGAACCGUGAGGCUUAACCUUACAACGCCGAAGCUGUU
rnacentral:rRNA from 1 species